GGUAUCCAUUUUGACUUCUCCUUUUUCAUUUCUUAUUUUUUUAUUUAAUUUUUUCCCUCUCUUCUUGGUGAAUCUAGCCAGAGGUUUGUCAGUGUAUUUUUACCUUUUCAAAGAACCAUCUCUUGGUUUGAUUGAUUUUGUCUACUGUUUUUUGAAUCUCUGUUUUAUUGAUUUCCUCAUUGAUCUUUAUGAUUUCUUUCCUUCUGCUGACUUAACUUUCCUUGUUCUUCUUUUUCUAUGUCAUUUAGGUGGUGGGUUAAGUUGUUGAUUUGAGCUUUUUCUUCUUUUUUGAGGAAGGCAUAUAUUGCUAUGACUUCCAUCUGAGCACUGCUUUUGUGCCCCCCAUUGAUUUUGAUUGGUUAUGUCUUCAUUAUCAUUUGUCUAAAGGUAUUUUUUAAUUUCUUUCAUGAUUUCCUCAUUGACCCAUUGGAUUUUUAGUAGCAUGCUGUUUAGUCUCCAUGUAGUAGGUUUUUUCUCACUUCUUGUCCUGUGGUUGAUUUCUAGUUUUAUGCCACUGUGAUCAGAGAAGAUACUAGAAACUCUUACAUUUGCUGAGGUUCACUUUGUGCCCCAGGAUGUGAUCAGUUCUUGCGAAUGUUCCAUGUGCACUUGAGAAGAAAGUGUAUUCUGAUUUUUUUUUGAUGUAAUGUCCUGAAAAUGUAGAUUCAGUCUAACUUUUCUAUUGUUUCCUUUAGGAUCUUUUUUGCCUCAUUGAUUUUCUCCCUAGAGGAUCUGUCCAUUGAUGUGAGUGGGCUAUUAAAGUCUCCUAAUAUGAUUGUAUUCCCAUAAAUUUCUCCUUUGAUGUCUGUUAGUAUUUUUUGUAGGUAUCUGGGUGCUCCUAUAUAGGCACAUAUAUAUUGACAAUUGUAAUAGCCUCUUCUUGAAUGGAUCCUUUAACCACUAAAUAGUGUUUUUCUUUGUGUUUCUUUAUGGCCUUUCUUUUAAAGUCUAUUUUGUGUGAUGUGAGUAUUGCAACUCCUGGUUUCCUGUCUGGUCCAUUGGCAUGAAAUACCUUUUCCCAUCCCCUCACUUUCAGUCUGUAAGUGUCCUUCCCCUAAGGUGAGUCUCUUGUAUGCAGAAGAUUGAAGAUUUUUGCUUUUUUAUCCAUUCUGCCACUCUGUGUCUUUUGUUUGGAGCGUUCAGUCCAUUGACAUAUAAGGUGAUUAUUGAUAGAUAUUUAUUUAUUGCCAUUUUAAACCUUGUUUUCCAGUUUUGAUUCUAUGUUUCUCUUUUCUUACUUUCUGUUUUUUGUUGGAUGAUUUCCAUUUAUUUUAUACUUGAGUACUUUUAUUUUCAGCUUUGUGAAUGUAUGUUUGGUUUGAUUUGUGGUUGCCCUGUUUUGUAUGUAUGUUAAACUCUUCCUAUAUCUGCUUGCUUUAGCCUCAUAGUCAUAUAGGCUCAAAUACAUCAUUAAAAAAUUUUAAAAAUCUAUUUUUUCUUAUUUCCUUGCUCAAAGUUUAUGAUUUUGAUGUCUUUUUUUUUCUUAGCAUCUGCAUGUUCCAAUCUGUAUGCUGGCUUAUUUAAGUGUCUGGUUUCCAAUUGUGGUUUCCUCCAUCCUAGAUAUUCCUUUUUUUUAGUGUUAAUUAUAAGGGAACACCAAUAAGACUAUCAUAUUAUCUGAUUUCUCUACAGAAACACUACAAGCCAGGAGGGAGUGGCAAGAUAUAUUUAAAGCACUGAAAGGAAAAUAUCUGAAACCUAGAAUACUCUAUCUGGGUAGAAUGGGAUUUAAAAUAGAUGGGAAAAUAAAGAAUUUUUCCAACAAACAAAAACUAAAAUAGUACAGCAAUACAUAACCCAUUCUAAAAGAAAUACUGAAAGGGCUUCUCUAAAUACUUAGUUUAAUUUAUUUUUAUUUUUUUGUCUUUUCUAAGGCCACACUCAGGGCAUAUGGAGGUUCACAGCCAGUCUAUCAUAGCUGUAGCCACUGGCCUAUGACACAGACACAUCAGAGCUCAAUCCAAGCCUCAUUUGUGAACUACACCACAGCUCACGGUAAUGCCGGAUCCUUAACCCACUGACCAUACCAGGGAUCAAACCCACAACCCCAUGGUUCCUAGUCAUGUUUGUUAACCACUGAGCCACGACAGGAACUCACAAAAUUAUUUAAAUUAUAGUUAAUUUACAAUGUUCUAUUUCUGCUAAACAGAAAAGUGAUCCAGUAAUACAUGUACGUAUAUAUUAUAUUUCUUAUGGUAUCUUCCAUCAUGAUUCAUCACAAAUGAUUGAUAUAUCACCCUGGGCUAUAAAACAGGACCUCAUUGCUUAUCCAUUCCAAAAGAAAUAGUUUGCAUGUACUAACCCCAAAUUCCCAGUCCUUUCUCCUCUCUCCCCCUCCCCCUUUGCAACCACAAGUUUGUUCUCUAUGUCCAUGAGUUUGUUUCUUCUCUGUAGAAAGUUUAAUUUAUGCCAUGUAUUAGAUUCCACAUAAAAGUGAUGUUAUAUGGUAUUUGUCUUUUGCUUUUCUGACUUGUUUCACUUAGUAUGGUCUAGUUCCAUCCUUGUUGCUACAGAUAGAAUUAUUUCAUUCUUUUUAUGGCUGAGUAAUAUUCCAUAGUGUAUAUGUAAUACAUCUUAAUCCAUUCAUCUGUUCAUGGAUGUUUAUGUUGUUUCCAUGACUUGGCUAUUGUGAAUAGUGCUUCAGUGAACAUAGGAGAACAUAUAUCUUUCUGAAUGAAAGUUUUAUUGGUUAUAUGCCCAGGAGUGUGAUUUCUGUGUCAUAUUGUAGUUCCAAGUUUAGUUUUCUGAGGUACCUCCAUGCUGUUUUCCUUAGUGGUUGUACCAUUUACAUUCCCGCCAACAGCGUAGGAGUUUUAUUUUUUCUCUACAAGCUCUCCAGCUUUUGUUAUUUAUACAUUUAUUAAUGAUAGCCAUUUUGAUCAUUGUGAGGCAGUACCUAGUUGUAAAUUUUAUUUGCGUUUAUUUAAUAAUUAGUGAUUUUGGACAUUUUUUCCUGUGCCUAUUGGCCAUUGGAAUGUCUUCUUUAGAGAAAUAUCUAUUCAGGAUCUCUGCCCAUAUAAUAAUUGUUUGUUUGUUUGUUUUCUGCUAUUGAGUUGUAUGAAUUGUUUAUAUAUUUUGGAUAUUAAACCCUUGUUUGUUGCAUCAUUUAAACUAAACUAUUUUCUUCCAUUCUGUAGGUUGUUUUUUUGGUGUUUUUAAUGGUUUUUUUUUUUUUUUUUUUUUUUUGCUGUGCAAAAGCUUGUAAGUUUGAGGAGGUCCCAUUGGUUUAUUUUUUGUUUUUGUUUCUGUUGCUUUUGGAGACUGACUUAAGAAAACAUUUGUAUGGUUCACAUCAGAGAAUGUUUUGCCUAUGUUCUCUUCUAGGAGUUUUAUGGUAUCUUGUUUUAUGUUUAAAUCUUCCAGCCAUUUAUAUUUGAUUUUUGUGCAUGGUGUGUAGAUGUGUUCAAGUUUCAUUGAUUUACAUGCAGCUGGCAGGAGACAGUCAUUUCCCCAUUUUAUUCUUUUCACCUUUGUCAAAGAUUAAUUGACAAUAUAUGUCUAGGUUUAUUUCUGGGUUCUCUAUUCUGUUCCAUUGGUCUUUAUUACAAAAUAUUGGCUAUAUUCCCUGUGCUGUCCAGUACAUCUUUUAGCCUAUCUUACACCCCAAAAUUUGUAUCUCUCUUUCCACCACCUUGCCCAUUCAACCCCUCCUUUUCAGUAACCACUAGUUAGCUAUAUCUGUGAGUCUGAAUUUUUUUAUUUAUUUGUUUAUUUUAUUUUUAGAUUCCACAUAAAAGUUAUAUCAUAGUGUUCUUUGUCCUCUGUAUGUCAUAUUUGUCUUAGCAGAAUGCCCCCCAAAUUAUUAGAAACCAUUCACCUGUGUAUUAUUUCCCAGAUUUAGAAGGAGAAUAUUACUACGAGCAACUGAAUCUCCUUUUGUGUAUCCGGAUAGUCAUUCCUCUUCUCUCCAUCUCAAAGUAAAAUAAUCCUUACUGUCUUUACAAAUAUGUUAUUUUAUUUUUGCCUGUUUUGGAAGUUUAUAUUAAUGCCCUCAGACCUGAUAUAUUCUUUUUCUGGAUCUUUUGUUCAGUCUUAUAUUUGCAAGGUCAUCUAGGUAGUGGUAUGGAGUGGUAGUUUGUUCAUUUCUAUUGCUGAGAUUUACCUCAUUGUACGAUGGUCUCACUUAAUACUUAUGCAACCUAUUCUUGAUUGAAUAAUUUGGGGGGGUUAUUAGGGAUAAUGCUGCCAUGAUAAUUCCUAUAUAUAUUUCUUGGUGCACAUGUGCAUUCCCUUCCCUUUCCUACAUAUCUAGGAGUGGAAUUCCUUGGUUUUAGAAGGUUCCCAUCUUUGAUUUCACUCCACACUGUGAAAUUGACUUCCAAAGAGAUUGUACCAAGUUGCACUUCCACCAUCAAUGUGUGAGGGUGUGGUUGUAGCUCAUUCUGACCACACAUGGUGGUGCCAGCCUUUUUCAUUGUAUUCAUGUGGUGUGUGUAUGCUGGGAGGAGCAUUUCCUGGUGGUUUGACUUUGUAUUUCAGUGAGUAAUCAUGAGAUUGCAUACCUUUUAAAUACUUGCUAGCAUUUUUAUUUCCUAAUUUUGAAACUACUUGUCUAAAUUUUUAUUUUUCCAAAGUUCCCAUUGUCGUGCAUCAGAAAUUUCUUUCCAAAUUUCAUCUUGGUUUAGUCUAGAAAAUUGUACAUUUCUAAGAAUUUGUCCAUUUCUUCUGUGUUUUAUAAUUUUAUUGGUGUAUAGUUGCUUAUAAUAGCCUCUUAUGAUCUAUUGUAUUUCUGUGAUGUCAAUUGUAACUUCUCCUUUUCCAUUUCUAAUUUUAUUGAUUUGAGUCCUCUCUAUUUUUUUCUUGAUAUGUCUGCCUAAGGGUUUAUCAGCUUUGUUGAUCUUUUCAAAGAACCAGCUUUUCAUUUCAUUGAUCUUUUCCAUGUUUUUUUUUUUCAUUUCUAUUUAAUUGCUUUCUGCUCUGAUCUUUAUGAUUUCUUUCCUUCCACUAACUUUAACUCUAGUCUGUUCUUCUCUCACUGGCUGCUUAAGAUGUCAAGUUAUAUUUUUUUGAGCUUUUUCUU
rnacentral:lncRNA from 1 species